GAAACCCCAAAACACAGACAUAAACUGCUUUCUGGGCCCAAGACCCACGUUAAUGAAAAUUAACAGCCUUAAAAUUUAUCAAUGGGUCCUGUUGCUUGCAGGAUGGAAUUCUAACUCCUCAUCACAUAAGACCUUUAUGAUCUUUCAGUGUCACCUCAUCUCCCAGCACACCGCCACCCAGGCCCUUCACUCUUCUACUGAACCACUUUCUUCCAUGUGCACACGCUGAUUUCUCAACCUGGAAUCAUUUCCCUACACCUUUCCUCAAAGGACUGUUAAUGAGUUUUCAGAGCAGGUACUUCACUGAAAUGUAACUACCACAAUGCAUCCUUUCCAUGUGACUAACUUCGCUCAUGGACCAGAAUCACUGUGGCUCUGCCCUGGAGUGGUGCAAAGAGCUCGCAUUCUGUUUGGAAAGCAAAUUAUUUAAAUCCAGUAGAGGACUCUCAAAUGUGGUUGGAAAAUCUAAGAAGACUUCCCAGAGGCAGCAGCACUAGUGUUAGGGAAAGAGCUCACAAAUUCCAUUGCUGUAGAAUCCAUGUGUUGAAGACCGCUACACUGGAAUCUAGUUUUCUAUCCUAAAAUCUACCUCCUGAGUUUGAGUAAGACUUGAACUAGUUUGCAAAUAUCUGUGAUCUUCACCUUGCCUGCCUGCAAAGCCCAUAAGCAAGUUCAGAAGAGACUUCUACUUGUCCAAAGCAACAUGGAGUAAAGUGGGUCAACUAGAAUUAAAAUAUGCUCCAGCCAAAGGUGACCAUGGAAACCUAUUGAUAAGGCUCUGGGGUCAGAUUCAUCUCUGUUCAGACAACUCUAGCGGUGUGACUCUGAGCAAGUGUUUUUUAACCUAAGUUCCUGCUUCCUCAACUGCAAAUGUAGGAAUGGUAACAUCUUCCUCAAAGUUGUAUGCUGGGGAUAACACAUGAAGGAGAUGCCUGGGCCAUAUAAUUAUUUAAGAAAUGUUCAUUUCUUUCUUGAACUACCUUCUACCAACUAUUUGGUCUGAGUUUAUGAAACUGUAAAUUUUGUCUAACAUUUGCCUAACAAAGCAUUAUUACCUUGCUUAAAGAAACACACAAUACAUUCUAAACCAAAAAUAAUUUGAAUGUAAUCCAUUAUUUUGGAUUAAUCUAUAUCAUCACUCCCCUCCCUUAGAGAAGACAGGCCAAGAGUUGGUUGCAAUAAUUUUUGAAGUAAAUUGAAGACCUUAUAAUUAACACUUAAGUCGGAGAAGUUAUUAUAUUUUCCAGUGUUUCAGUAUUUACAGUCCAAAAUAGUGUUCAUCCUCAGAAUAUAAAGCCCUUUUACCUUUAAUGAUAUAUCAAAUGCAUUGGCAAAUACAGCUGUUGUUAGUAAAUUCCUAUUUAACAGAUGGGCAAGAUGAGGUAGUGAGAUUAAAUGACUAGCCCAUGGCUAAUAUGUGAUUAGAAAGACAAAUUUAAUCAUAGUUGCCAUUUGACUUCCUUUCAAAACUAGAAUUAAAUUUCAAGUGUCUCCUGACUCCCAGUUUGGUGCUUAUUUCACUACAGUGCAAUAUGUGCUUUAUUACAUGCUUUAAAAUAAGAGGAGAGAGUGGGGAGGCAUAAGCACCUUCCUCCUAAAAGGCACAAAGCACAAAAUACGAGGGAAAUAGUCCAUCAUUAAUUUUCAUAACAUUCCCCGUAAGACAACAAUGAGUACCGACUCUCCCUUAGUCAGGAGGAUGGUGUAGAAACCUAAGUUUAAAAAAAGAUGCACAAGAUGCCCACAGAUACUCAAGAAAUCAAAAAGACAGCCCAGAAUUACCUAGUGUUAGAAUGAAAUUGAUCACACACCUUCUGGAAAGCACACAGUUCUACAAGUCUCUAUGUACGCAGGGAAAUCCAAGUACCUUUUUAGCAGGGAAGGAUUGUUUCAUAGAACAUCUAGCAGCAACCCUGGGUAAGUGGAUACUGUUUUGAGAAUGUUUUAAACUUAGUCACCCAAUUCUCAUCAGGCCCAAUCAACCAACUGCCUAACCUCAUUUUGUUUUGAAAAAUAAUGUCACAAAUGUGUCCAGAGUGGGAUAAAAUGCACAGUAGCGAGUUCAUUAACAUGCCAUCUGCAUGCAAAACAAGGGGAUUCCAGAGGCAGAAUGCUUUGGUAGGCCUGCUAGAAAUCAAAUUCCAGGCUAAAAAAAUAUAGAACACAACUUAGGGAGAAAAAUAUUACAGCUACACCUUUACUUGACCCACAGCAAAGACUGUCUGGUUUUCAAGAGCUCCAAAGCCAGCCUGAAUUCUCUUUCCCUCUUUCUUAAAACUUUAAAACAUGUUUUACUACUUAAAGAGGGUAAAAAAACAAUUGCUUACAGCAUGAGGUGG
rnacentral:lncRNA from 1 species